rnacentral:tRNA from 1 species
UGUCAGGUGGCUGAAAAUAAGCGAUAGAUUGUAAAUCUAUUAAUGGAGUAAGGCCUCCCCGGCAA